rnacentral:rRNA from 1 species
UACGUAGGGUGCAAGCGUUGUCCGGAUUUACUGGGCGUAAAGGGCGCGUAGGCGGCGCGGUAAGUCACUUGUGAAAUCUCUGAGCUUAACUCAGAACGGCCAAGUGAUACUGCAGUGCUAGAGUGUGGAAGGGGCAAUCGGAAUUCUUGGUGUAGCGGUGAAAUGCGUAGAUAUCAAGAGGAACACCUGAGGUGAAGACGGGUUGCUGGGCCAACACUGACGCUGAGGCGCGAAAGCCAGGGGAGCAAACGGG